AGGGCGCACAGUCAGUGGGGGUAGACGCGAAACCAAGUGAUCUACACUUGGCCAGGAUGAAGUCCCGGUAACACGGGAUGGAGGUCCGCACCAAUAAGCGUUGAAAAGCUUCUGGAUGAGCCGAGUGUAGGAGUGAAAGGCCAAUCAAACUUGGAGAUAGCUCGUACUCCCCGAAAGGCAUUUAGGUGCCGCGUCGGAUGGUCACCGUGAGAGGUAGAGCGACCGAUAGGACAAGAGGGCUUCACCGCCUAUCGAGUCCUGACGAACUCCGAAUGCUCACGGUCUGCAGUCCGGCAGUAAGGGGGCGGGUGCUAAGGUCCGUCCCCGAGAGGAGAAGAAUCCAGACCGCCGUCUAAGGUCCCGGAGUUCUGCCUGAGUUAGUCUAACGAAGUCUGGUCCCUAUGACAGCUAGGAUGUUGGCUUGGAAGCAGCCAUUCAUUCAAAGAGUGCGUAACAGCUCACUAGUCGAGGGUCCGGGCAUGGAUAAUAAUCGGGUAUAAGGCAGACACCGAAGGCGCGGGAUAGCAAUUAUGAAAGUAUCGGUAGGGGAGCAUACUCACAGCGUCGAAUGGUGUACGUAAGUUAUCCUGGAGCGGUGAGUAAAGCAAAUGUAGGAAUAAGUAACGAUAAGGAGGGUUAGAUUCCCUCCCGCUGUAAGACCAAGGUUUCCCGGGCAAUGCCAAUCAGCCCGGGGUCAGUCGGGUCCUAAGUCUAAGCCGAACGGCGAUGGCGAUGGCAGAGACGGUUAAUAUUCCGUCACUGCCGCAUGGGGCGACGUGGAGACGGAGCAGUGAAACCACCGCGGGGCGACGGAAGUCCCCGUUGAAG
rnacentral:rRNA from 1 species